rnacentral:rRNA from 2 species
UUUUAAAAGCUUGCGUUUUGAAAGGUCAGCGGCGGACGGGUGAGUAACACGUGGGCAACCUGCCUGUAAGACUGGGAUAACUUCGGGAAACCGGAGCUAAUACCGGAUAAUAUAAGGAACCUCCUGGUUCUUUAUUGAAAGAUGGUUUCGGCUAUCACUUACAGAUGGGCCCGCGGCGCAUUAGCUAGUUGGUGAGGUAACGGCUCACCAAGGCGACGAUGCGUAGCCGACCUGAGAGGGUGAUCGGCCACACUGGGACUGAGACACGGCCCAGACUCCUACGGGAGGCAGCAGUAGGGAAUCUUCCACAAUGGACGAAAGUCUGAUGGAGCAACGCCGCGUGAGCGAUGAAGGCCUUCGGGUCGUAAAGCUCUGUUGUUAGGGAAGAACAAGUGCGAGAGUAACUGCUCGCACCUUGACGGUACCUAACCAGAAAGCCACGGCUAACUACGUGCCAGCAGCCGCGGUAAUACGUAGGUGGCAAGCGUUGUCCGGAAUUAUUGGGCGUAAAGCGCGCGCAGGUGGUCCUUUAAGUCUGAUGUGAAAGCCCACGGCUCAACCGUGGAGGGUCAUUGGAAACUGGGGGACUUGAGUGCAGAAGAGGAAAGUGGAAUUCCAAGUGUAGCGGUGAAAUGCGUAGAGAUUUGGAGGAACACCAGUGGCGAAGGCGACUUUCUGGUCUGUAACUGACACUGAGGCGCGAAAGCGUGGGGAGCAAACAGGAUUAGAUACCCUGGUAGUCCACGCCGUAAACGAUGAGUGCUAAGUGU